ACCACCACCACCACCACUACUAUCACCUCCUCCUUUCCCCUAACACUUUCUCCUUUUUCCUUUUUUAUUAUUAUUAUUUCUUUUUGUUUAUUCUUAUUCUUUGGAACUUUCAUUUUCAUGUUACAUUCAUUCACUAUCGAACAAGAAGAAGUAGAAGUUGAAGUAGAAGAAGAAAAAGACGGGUUAACUGCAGAAACAUCACGUAGAAUGUGUUCGACCGUAAGAUAUGAGAAAAAGACAAGCAGAUGAUAGAAGUAUUAUAUCAGUCGUUUAAAACGAAUAAAUUGAUCUGGUGUGAAAAGAAGAUAAAACAAAAAAAAGAAUUAUUUUUGAAACAUUGAAUUGUGAAUUCUACCAACGAUCAUCAUCAUCAUGAAUAUAAUGUUCUAAAUUCGUAUGGAGUCAACAGUGAUUAUCGUAAAAUGGGACGAAAAAAAGAAAAAUAAGCAAGAUAAACCACCUAACAAAGA